UAUUUUUAGUUUUACAUUGAUUAUAUUUAAAAGUUUAUGUAAUUAGAAUAUGAUUUGUAAUUAUCGGAAGUAAAAGUUGGAUUUAUCAUUUGUUAUGAUUUGAUAGCUAUUUUACAUCUAAACACUUUCGGUCCCCGCCUCCAAAUGGAAUAAAUUAACUUGAGCAGUUUCAAUGAUUCCGAUCUGUCGCAACUUCCGAUGCCUCUGAACCGCUAAACCCUCCUCUGCCAACAUCGCUGUACAACGUUAUCCUAAAAUGGGUUGAUUGGCUUGUUCUAAAGGGAACUGAAUAUGAAUCCAAAACGAAAUGUAGAUGAUACGGGACAACAAUUUUCCCAUAUAACUUGGCAUCAAAAAUCAGAUCCAUCUCUAAAUUUGUUUGAGAAGAUAAAAUAUUUUAAAAUUUAAAUAAUACCUUAACAACUUUUUUUUUUAAUCGAUUGCGAGUGAUGGUCAUCGCUUAAUCAUAUUUUGUAAGGCGCAAAAUUAAGAAAUUUGCUCCGGUGGUAGAACUUGAUUUGUGAAUAUCAGCUCCCUUCAUCAAAUAUCCGUUCAUAAAGCAAAUAGCAAAAGGGGCUUGGUGGUUGGUAUCGGAGGUCUCAAAUUCGAAUCCUAAUUGAUUCACAUUUUCAGCUAAAUUUAUUUCUAAAUAAAAUAAACGAAGGUAGCGUGCUACCUAUCUCUCUCAAAAAAAAAAAAAAAAA
rnacentral:lncRNA from 1 species